AACGCACAUUGCGCCCAUUAGUAUUCUAGUGGGCAUGCCUGUUCGAGCGUCAUUUCAACCCUCAAGCCCUGCUUGGUGUUGGGGCACUACGGCGGCGUAGGCCCUCAAAGCUAUUGGCGGACUCGUAGAGAAUCUGAGCGCAGUAAUGCCUAUGCAACGCUUUGGAGACUCGGCGGAGCCCGGCCUAAAACUCUUUCUCCAAAAAAGUUGACCUCGGAUCAGGUAGGAAUACCCGCUGAACUUAA
rnacentral:misc_RNA from 1 species